CCCGCCGUAGCUCAGCGGCAGAGCGCCCGGCUGUAGUGAGGGGCGUAGACACCGGGUGGCCGGGGGUUCAAGUCCCCCCGGCGGGA
rnacentral:tRNA from 1 species